AAGUCGUAACAAGGUUUCCGUAGGUGAACCUGCGGAAGGAUCAUUAACACGUAUCCAGUGAACCUUCAUCCUGCUCUUGUAACCCGCGUAGUUCGCAAUCUCUGAUAAAUCAUAGCCCGGAAAGUUGUAGUGAUUCAGAGACCUCUGGCUACGUGCGAACAUUGGAACAGUUACAAUCGAGCGGUAGUUCUACAGGCAAUGUUUCCCCAAGCAGUCAGUGUCGGAAAGUGUCAUUGACUGUGCAAGGAUAGCGCUUCUACGAUUCCUGUAGACCGUGCACUCGUUUGCCAAAGGCCCCCUAAUAACCCCACAGUUUAAUGUGAAGCGUAAUACAUUGGGUAAAAAAACCGAACAACUGUUAACAAUGGAUAUCUUGGUUCUC
rnacentral:misc_RNA from 1 species